rnacentral:rRNA from 1 species
CCUACGGGGUGCAGCAGUGGGGAAUAUUGGUCAAUGGAGGAAACUCUGAACCAGCCAUGCCGCGUGAAUGAAGACGGUCUUCGGAUUGUAAAGUUCUUUAGUUCGGGAAGAAUAAAAUGACGGUACCUGACGAAUAAGCUCCGGCUAACUAAGUGCUAGCCGCCCCGGUUAUACGUAGGGAGCAAGCGUUGUUCGGAAUGACAGGGCGUAAAGGGUGCGUAGGCGGGUAUAUAAGUGAGAAGGGAAAUACCCAGGGCUUAACUCGGGUGCUGCUGCUGAAACUGUAAGACUUGAGUGCAGUAGAGGUAAGUGGAAUGCCUGGUGUAGCGGUGGAAUGCGUAGAUAUUAGGAGGAACACCAGAGGCGAAGGCGGCUAACUGGAGUGCAACUGACGCUGAGGCACGAAAGUGUGGGGAGCGAACAGGAUUAGAUACCCUUGUAGUC